UGUCCAGCAACUCAUAUCCCUACCUCCUCGCGGUACUGGCCGGGGUACGAGUAACCUUAGGGAAGAUCGGGUAACCAACCCCCGGUGGGAACUUUGGUCGUAUGCUGACAGGGAAGG
rnacentral:ribozyme from 1 species